UACGAAGGGGGCUAGCGUUGUUCGGAAUUACUGGGCGUAAAGCGCACGUAGGCGGAUAUUUAAGUCAGGGGGUGAAAUCCCAGAGCUCAACUCUGGAACUGCCUUUGAUACUGGGUAUCUUGAGUAUGGAAGAGGUAAGUGGAAUUGCGAGUGUAGAGGUGAAAUUCGUAGAUAUUCGCAGGAACACCAGUGGCGAAAGGCGGCUUACUGGUCCAGCUAA
rnacentral:rRNA from 1 species